rnacentral:rRNA from 2 species
AAAUUGAAGAGUUUGAUCAUGGCUCAGAUUGAACGCUGGCGGCAGGCCUAACACAUGCAAGUCGAGCGGUAGCACAG